rnacentral:rRNA from 1 species
GACGAACGCUGGCGGCGUGCUUAACACAUGCAAGUCGAACGGGAAGGCCCUGCUUUUGUGGGGUGCUCGAGUGGCGAACGGGUGAGUAACACGUGAGUAACCUGCCCUUGCCUUUGGGAUAACUUCAGGCAACUGGGGCUAAUACCGGAUAGGAGCUCCUGCUGCAUGGUGGGGGUUGGAAAGUUUCGGCGGUUGGGGAUGGACUCGCGGCUUAUCAGCUUGUUGGUGGGGUAGUGGCUUACCAAGGCUUUGACGGGUCGCCCGGCUGAGAGGGGGACCGGGGACAUUGGGACUGAGAGAUGGCCCAGACACCGCCGGGGGGGAGAGGUGGGGAAAAUAGUAGAAAAGGGGGGAGACUGUGGUAGCAACGCCGUGUGGGGAAGAAGGGGCUUUGGGGAUUAAAAAGCGUUCGCCUGUGACGAGGCGAGAGUGACGGUAAUGGGUAAAGAAGCACCGGCUAACUACGUG